rnacentral:SRP_RNA from 1 species
GGAAAGUCGGCGCGGGCGGAUGCUCGCUUGUAAUCGGUCAGGUCCGAAAGGAAGCAGCCACCAACGAUUUCUCCGGGUCGUGUCCGGCUUUCCACU